rnacentral:rRNA from 1 species
GAUCUCGUCUGAUCUCGGAAGCUAAGCAGGGUCGGGCCUGGUUAGGAGUCUUGGGAUGGGAGACCACCUGGGAAUCCCGGGU